rnacentral:lncRNA from 1 species
AUCCCAUUGGUAGAAUCAUCAUAUGCAUGCAAGUAAUAGUUCUAUUCUGGUCCCAAAAAAACCUUAACUAUUGUCGAUAGGUAUAAGAUGUCAUAUAACAAUGUGCACCAAGAGGGAAAGANNNNNNNNNNNNNNNNNNNNNNNNNNNNNNNNNNNNNNNNNGGAAAGAGAUACGUCAAAAUAACAAAAUUUUAAUGUUUUCUUUUGGUUAGUCUAUAAAAUUAUAAUGUAAAAAACGAAAUGUACCAUGACUAUGAGGUCGUUUGGCAUCGGAAAGUGUGGCCCAGAUGAGGAUUAUCGAAUAUGAUGUCCCCAGAUCUAAAUCCAAAUCGAACAAUAUGAAUCUUAUAUCGUCCAGACUUAUAGUUGGAGAGUUUAGCUAGGCUCCAUAACUCUACCAAGUGUGGCUCAUCGUACGCUCAUAAUUUGAUUAAUGUUAAUUUGAUUUUUUAUUUGUUUCGAUCCAAAAAAUUUAGAUAUAUGUAAGUCCGAACAUUAUACGAGAGUCCAAAGCCUCAAAGAUUAAAGGAAACCAAACCAGCAAGAAACAUUCUUCCGGGACCAAACAUACAACUUCCAUGAUUAAGGAACAAAAUACCUAAACAACUUAAAGAUCAGAGUAAACUCACAAACAAACUGUCGAAGAUGGAAGGGAACAUCAAACUAAUUAUAAAAAAGGCAUAUACAAAUUAAUUAACAGGUUAAAUAACUUUAUAAAAAAUCAUAACCAACAAAUUUUAGACAUUUUUAGACACCACCCUUGUCAAAUCAUUCUCGAUCAUUGGAUAAUGUAAGUAGUAUCUCAGUAAAUAUAAUAGUAAGAGCAUCAUUAACCCUAAAGUGGGGUGCUUAAUAUUUUUUUUUCUUUCUCUGAUUUAAAAAAAAUAAUUAAAAAUGAACCAAUAGUAGACUGCGACGUGUCAGUGGGAUCCGUGAAACAGAGCUAGAACCGGUGCUUAAUUAGGCAGAAGAAGCACAUGUACUUAAUUUUUGUGUGGGUUCCACCCACUAUUAUAUUAGUUUUUUCCUAAGCUCUCCCCUCUAAACACCCCCAUUAAUGAUGCUCUAAUAUGCGUAUAAUAAUUUUAUUAUCUAACUAGAUUUAAAACAAUAAGAUGAGCAGUGUGAAUCAUUUAAUGACAUGUGGGAAAUAGUUUUUUUUUUACUUUUGUUACGGCAAUUCAAAUAAGAACCAUUUCUGACAAAAGUUCAUUAUUUUUUUUUUCAUUAUUAUUAUAAUUUUUUUAAUUGAUAGAUACUUUCUCAAAUACUACCAAUGGAUCUGCCUUCUAUUAUAUCACCAAUAGUGUGGAAAAGCCACUGAGACUUGUAGGCUUUCCUCGGAAGUGUCGCAAGUACUUUGAACGUACUUAUUCUUUGGAUGAUAAUCGAAGGGACAACUUUCAAACUUAUGUGAUUAUUCUGAUUGAUGACCCUAAGCUUUUCAGUGGCAUUAGUAGAGAGAAUGGACGUCAAACUUAUUUGCUAUCUUCGACUCUGAUUCUCUGACAGCAUAGCAUGGUUGCCUCUCGCCGCCUGUUUUUUUUAGAAAUUUGGCUUUUCUGUGCUUCAUGUCCCAGAAGAAGGAUGACUUUUCUUGCUCUGUCUCUACGUUUUUCUGAAGCCACAUUCUUUAAAGUGUUACUCGUGUGAAGGAGUCGAGUGCCUUACCUUUGCUUCCAUCUGCCAGUACUGCUCUGUGCUUUAUUAUGCUAGUCUCACCUCUUUGGAUUGGAAUUUAUAGCGAAUCAUAUAGUUCUCUUCUGGAAGUAACAACGUUAGGAGAUGACUCAUUGGGUGAUAACCAGACCGGGGCCUGGUCAACCUGCUUUACAUGUCUACCUCUCGGAGUUGCUUUUGGACUGAUCUUUGGACUGUUCUCCGGCUAUUAUACUAUAAUAAUUAUUGCUCUUGUUGUAGGUCUCUUGUGACAGAUUUUGUGUUAGAUCUAUUAGGAUUAAUUGUUGUUGCUAGUAGAAUUUGCCUUAGCGAAGCUUUAAUCAUAGCCUUAGUGUUUUGAUUAAACCUUCUUAUCUAUAAAUUUUUCUUUUUUGGAUUUUUAAGCCCUCUGCUUAAUCAGCUUUCAUAGAUGUAAUAGGUUUUGAGCGUUUAAAAUUAUUUUUAUCUCUUUUGUCAUUGUUCUUAAUAAUGAAACUUCACAUAUUUAUUAUUUUUUUAACAUUAGUGAGUUUUUUGAAGUUUUUCAUCAAUUAAAAUAAGAGAUUCCCUUAACAUUUGUGAAAGACUCUUGCAACACCGUCAUAUUGUUUAGUGACUGAUAAUGUUUAGUUGUUAAAAUAUAUUUUGAGAAAUUCUUAGAAUCUUUCGCCAAUGAUGGUCUAACAUAUCAAUAUUUCUCCAGCUUCCGUUUCUACUACGCAGUGAUAGUUUAUUUCAAAACGGUUCAAACAUUUCCAAACCUUCCUACUCACAUAUAGGGGUUGAACAGACUCUAGAAUACGUGAUGUUUUUUUUUCUAGUAAGAGAUGGAAAGUGACAAACAUGCCGUUUCCCGGCCAUGUUUAAUGCUGGAUCUAAGACCUCUUUAGGUACAAGUGGACAUCAUGCAAAGGCCCACAAAUUUCUAACAUCAGGUCAUGCCACACGCCAAAGGUACUUUCUGGUUUGAUUCCUUACUUUUAUUCAAUUUAUUAUAGUUAAUAAAUAGUAUUCACCUUUUUAUAUUUAUGUAUUUUAUAAUUUUAUAAUUGAUUACGUCAUAAAAGAAGUAAAAUUAAAGUAAGAUAAUGACAAGAUAGUUUAACGGGUUUAAUACUUUACAACGAUUAAGAUUUGUAUGUUAGAAUAAUUUGAUAGACUGUCUCUUUUGGAUUUAAAUGUCAUUGGUUAAAAGCCUAUCAUUGUUAUUACUAUGGUAUAUAGUCUCAACUAUCCAGUUACAAAAUUGAAACUUCCUAUUCAAUAUCAUCAUAUCAUUUGGCUUCUACUGUAGUGUUCACCUUGUUAUCUUUUUUUUUUUUAAUUAGAGUAAUUUUAGUUUAUCUCUUAUACAUAGUUUAUAUUGAAUAAUAAACUUUAAAGUUUCUGAAAGAUAAUUUUAGCAAAUAACAUUGGUUUUUUUACUAUAUAUUAUUUUAUUCUAUAAAAAGUUGUUUUACAUAAAUCUUCAACCGUUUUUGAGUAUUAUUUAUUUCAAAAUAUUUAUACUAAUAAAUUGGAUGCAUAUUGUUAUUUAGUCAUUAAAUAUGUAGUGACAUGAAUUUGUCUAUGGCAAAAUUUGAGAAACUUAUAAUGAGGCAAUGUUAAGUAUCACAUAUAAAAACAAAGUUUCAAUAUUCUUUCUAGUUUAUAUUUCAUUAUACAAGUUUUUUUGUUAGAUCACAACAAAAAUUCAAUUUAUUUUUCUACAAACAUAAAUUUUGAGAAAUCAUAUAAAUUAUAGAUUUUAUGAUCUUUUUACAUUAAUCAACCAAUGAAAAUUAUAUGGUAUACUGCAAAAAUUAAACAAUAUUUUAAAAUGAAAAAAAUCAUAUAAUGGAAUGGAGGAAGUAACAUUUUGAAAUCCUACUAUUGGUUGUAAAAUAUUUUUUCCAAAAAAUUAAUUAUCAACAUAAUUUUAUAUUUUGAGUGGUGUAUAUAAUAAUUAAUGUUCUUUUACCAUUUUAAAUUUCGUGGUCAAUCUUUUGGAGUUGAAUUUUGUGGGACCUACUAUAUUUAUUGAAAAAACAGUGGACCUUAUUCCAUAUCUUAAACCGUUAGAUUAACAUUGCACAACACACACAAAAAAUGAUCGCACGGCUGAAAAAUUAUGUUAUUUACAUGCUCAACACGUGUCCAAACAUGCUUGAGAAUAUUACAGAACAUUACAAAGUUUUAAAACUACCUUAUAACUACUUCAUGAUUAUUACAUGACGACUUGUAAUGACUGAUUUAUCCUUGGACCAUCAAAUAAAUAUCUAUUAACUCAUCACUCUUCACAUCAUCUCCUAUAUAUAAACUCUUAAUAUUUUACCAUUAGCUUCUACCAGCUUUCUUCUUUCUUAAUUUCAUCAUCAAGCUUGAAUUUCAAUCUCAUUUAUCGUUAGUUUCUUCAUGUUCUUGACCAACUAAUUCUCUUCUUUAAAAUCUAGUGCAGUUUUAUUUUUCAUUUGUGUUUUUUAUUUUUUCAUAGUCAUCUUAUGGAGUUUCAAUCAGUGAUAAAAAUGCAUUAUCCGUAUCUUGCAUCUGUUAUCUUCGAUGAAAAUUUCACCUUAAAAGAUGUUCAACCAUCUCUUACUGAUGAUGCUUCAUGUGUCCAAAACAUGCAUCAUAAACCUUUCCAUGCUAAUCUCGAUAGGUCACAUGUGCCAUCGAUCGUGAACCCUGAUCUUUGUCCUAAAAAUCUGACAUUGAAAAUCUCAAACACUACUUCCGAUCAUAUUCCAAAUCUAAACAUUUCUCCUCGUCACUAUGAUAUGCAGCCCCACUCAUUUGAUACACUCUCAAAAGAUAUCUUUAAUGGUAUCACUCCCUCUCCAUGUACUGAAGCUUUUGAGGCAUAUCUUCGUGGCAUAUCCAACGACCAAGAUUUCUUCGACAUGGCAUGUAACACAUCACAACCUGUUGAGCCCAAUGAUUUACCCAACAUUUCACAUGUCCCACGCGACAAUACUAUGUGGGAAAAUAAUAAAAAUCAAGGGAUAAUCUUUGGGACAGAGUCGAUCUUCAAUCUAGCCAUGGUUGACUGUAAUCUAUAUGGUGCGCCUAAACCAAUAGGUAUAUUGGGCGCAAAUGAAGAUACCAUCAUGAAUCAACAUCACAAUAAUCAAAUAAUGAUCAGAGCCGAUCAGAUCAAGAAGAACAAAAGAUUUCAGAUGAGGAGAGGAUCUAAACUGACGAGAAAAGCAAGCAUAAUAAAAGGUCAAUGGACUUCUGAUGAAGAUAGGUAAAUUCACCAGUUUUGGAAUUUUCAUAAAUUCUUGUUUUUAUAUGGUAUGAUUAUUAUUAUUAUUGAAAAUUAAGUAUAUAAAUUUUUUGAGGAUUCUACAUAAAUAUAGGCUGUUGAUGCAAUUAGUGAGGCUUCAUGGGACAAAAAGGUGGUCUCAGAUCGCUAAGAUGCUUCAAGGACGUGUUGGAAAACAAUGCAGAGAAAGGUGGCAUAACCAUCUUCGUCCUGAUAUCAAGGUUACUUUUUUUUAAUUUCUUACUUAUUUAUUAUUUAUACAUAUAUCCAUAUAUGAAUUAUGUAGUAUUGCAUAUGUAUAUGUGGUUGUCUUUAUAAUAACAGUUACAUAAGAGUGCAUAUAUGUUACAUAUAUCGUUAUAUGUCUAGUCUUCCAUGCAUGACACAAUUUUCUGUGUUCAUUAUGCCAUUCAAAUUGACAUUGUAUCAUAACUCUUAUAUGCAUAUAUAAGCAUCCAUGGUUGUAUUCAUCUUAUAUGGUCGUUAGUGUUGAACAUUCAAUUGAAUAUGUCAUUUUGAUUAUUUUCUCGUUUUUUUUUCAAAUACAUACAUUGACAAACUUCUAAAAGAAUUGAACAAACUUUUUUAUAUUUGUCAACAUGUAAAUGGUCUUAACUUAUGCAUGAACUUUAAUUUUUUGUUUGUAUAUACAUAUAUGUCUACAACCUUAUUUAACAAAUUUUGUUUUGUUGUCCUGGACAAUAGUUACAACUGGCAAGCAUUCAAACUAAAGUUAUUUUCACUUAGAUUCUCUCACAACAAUGUAACAAUUAUAAAUACAUAUAUAUAUAUAUAUAUAAAAGAAUAUGUUAUAUAUUACAGAAAGAUAGUUGGAGUGAAGAAGAAGAUAUGAUAUUGAUUGAAGCCCACAAAGAGAUUGGGAACAGAUGGGCUGAGAUUGCUCGGAAACUCCCUGGACGCACUGAAAAUACAAUCAAGAACCAUUGGAAUGCGACUAAACGCAAACAACACUCGAGGAAGUCUAAGGGGAAAGAUGAAGUUUCCCUUGCACUCGGCAGCAACGCUCUUCAAAACUAUAUUAGAUCUGUUACCUAUAACGAUGAUACUCUCAUGACCGCAGCUUCUAACUCAAAUGGAAACAAUGGUCGAAGAAACGUGAGAGGUAAAGGUAAAAAUGUAAUUGUUGAUGCCUUAGACUACAACAAGAAAAACGAUGAGAAUGAGUGUAAGUACAUCGUUGAUGGUGUGAUGAACUUGGAUUUGGAGAAGUCUACCAUUUGUGUGUCAAGGUCAACGUCUGCAUCUGGUUCUACGUCUGGGUCAGGGAGUGGUGUAACCAUGGAGGUUGAUGAACCGAUGGCAGACAGUUGGAUGGUGAUGCAUGGGUGUGAUGAAGUUAUGAUGAACGAAAUUGCUUUGCUGGAGAUGAUUGCUCGUGGCCAUGUUUAACCGUUUUUAUCUAAGCUAUUUGAACUUGUUUUCUUUAUCUAUCUAUUUGAACUAAAUUUGGUAUUUUAAUGGAAGAAGUGGACAUGUAAUAUAUAUUUCGGUUUAAUGAAUGCUUUGUUUGUUCUCUGUUUUAUUAAAAAUCUUUUUAAACAAAGAAGAGAAUCUUUAUAGAUAGGCAGAAAAAUAUAUGUUUUGACCAAGAAAAAAAAUAUAAAUCUAAGCUAUAAAUAGAAAAAUAUAUGAAUAUGUGGGCCCUCGUAGAUAUUUUUCCGUUUUGAGAAGUUUUAUUUAUUUAUGAUUUAAAAAAAAACCGAAACGACGGCGUUUUUCACAACAAAGAAUCAGUAGGUCCCCCACCUGUCACUCUCUCCAUCUGCAGUGCUUCGACUUCUCGUGGCUCACCGCCAUCGGAUGCCUUCUGCGACUUAUACGAAUCGCAUAGCUUCAAAGUUUCAAUUUGACUUCUCCUUCACACAAUUCACCAACACUGUAGAGGGAAAAAGACACAUCUUCCUUACAUCACGUAAGUAUUACGCGUAUCUGAACUUCUUCGGAAUCACAUUUUUUUAACUGAAAUUGCAAUCCUUUACAGGUGAAUCGAUCAAUUGGAUCCAUUGGGUUUUCGGAUCCGGAGAUCCGAAUACUCAAAGACGGAUCAUCAUCUGUUUAAUCUUGAUAUUCUUGGAAGGGUGAAGGAAGGAUGAACCCCGAGAUAGCUAGCUUCGAUUACUGGUUUAAUUGGAGAGUGCUUCUCUGUGCGGUAUGGGUGUUGGCUCCGAUGGUUGUUGCUCUCUUCGUUAUAUGGAAGUACGAAGAUAGUUCGGUUGUAACUCAGGGUGAUAGUGAAGAUAAUGAUGUUCUCUGUAUUGAUGAUGCUUGGAGACCUUGUUUUGAAAAUAUCCACCCGGGAUGGUUGUUGGGUUUCCGGAUCCUCGCCUUGUGCUUUCUUCUGGCGACCAACAUUGCUAGGCUUGCUCUUCGUGGGUGGCGUAUCUACUACUAUUACACUCAGUAAGAUCUUGUAAAUCUUGUCCUUGAGUGUCUGAAAGAUGUUUCAUUUUAGACUUUGUUUGAGUUCAAUGAUGCUCUGAGACACUAAGUAGGUUCCUGUCUUGUUAAAGGAUUGAAAUUUAUGAGAUGAUGUUUGUUUCUACUAUAAUACACUCAGUAAGAUCUUGAAAAUCUCUCAUUUACUGUCUGAAAAAAAUAUUCAUUUUAGGCUUUGUUUGAGUUCAGUGAUGCUGUGAGACGCUAAGUGUCUUGUUAAAGGAUUGAAAUUUAUGAGAUGAUGUUUGUUUUAACUGCUAACACACUCAGUAAAAUCUUGAAAAUCUCUCAUUUACUGUCUGAAAGAUGUUGGAUUUUAGGCUUUGUUUGAGUUCAAUGAUGCUCUGCGACGCUAAGUAGGUUUCUGUCUUGUUAAAGGAUUGAGAUUUUUAUGAGAUAGAUGUUUGUUUCUGUUUUGAUUUGGUAUCUUAUUGUGCUCUGGUUAUGUGACAGGUGGACUUACACGUUGAUAGCAAUCUACUUUGGGGUAUAUUUUGAUCUCCAUGUUAUGUUUAAAAAAAUCAGAUAGUUAUGAUGAAUGUGUGUUUGUUUGGAUUUAUCUCAUUAUCACAUGUGUGUUCUGUAGAUGGGAUCAGUGCUUUCAGUUUACGGGUGCUUUCAACACAAGAAGCAACUGAGAACGAGACUAACGGCUGAUCAAGUAGGAAACGAUGCGGAGAGUGGGUUACGUUUGCCUCUUAAUGGGGAGAAAAUGGCUUUGCUUGAGAAGAGUAAAGCUUCUGGUUCAAAGACACUACGGUCCUCUGUGCAUCUCUUCCAGAUUAUAUUUCAGGUUGACACAGAAUCCUUUAGGUGUUUACAGUUUUGUAAUAGCAUUGUGUUAUAUUAUUACUCGUGCUGAUCACUGACUUUGUUUUGGUUUUGGGUUUGUUGGAAAAACAGAUGAGUGCUGGAGCAGCUGUGCUUACAGACAGUAUUUACUGGACAGUGAUCUUCCCGUUUCUCUCUUUGCAAGACUAUGAGAUGGGUUUUGUAAGUUCCCCACCAUUUCCUCCAGAGUUGUGCAUAUGACACUUUCUAUGUUGCAUACGAUCUUGUACUAUACUUCAACUCUCUUCAAAACUCAUUAUCAAUCUUUCUACUGCAAAUUGUGUGUUUUCAGAUGACUGUAAAUUUGCAUACGAGCAACCUCUUUUUACUGGUCUGUGACACAAUUCUUAACCGUCUGGUAACUAUUUUCUUCUUCCCUUCUGUAUUUAAGAUGUUUUCUUUACAUCGAAGUAUCAACUAAGUGUUUUGUUUGGGUUUUACUCGCAGAGAUUCCCUUUGUUUAGAUUCUCUUACUUCAUCUUGUGGACAGGAUGUUUCGUUAUUUUCCAAUGGGUUCUCCAUCUUUUUGUCUCCGUUGGGUAAUAACUCUUCCUUGCCCCUUUUUUUUUUUCUGUCAUCUUAUAUUUGAUCUGUCUUACCUUUUGAUUCCUGGAUUGAUCUAGGUGGCCAUAUCCAUUUCUCGACCUGUCACUUUCAAUGGCUCCAGUGUGGUAAGCCUUCAAAACAUUUUACAUUCUAGAUCAAUCAGCAUCCGUUGGUUACAUAGAGAAGAAGAUUAAAAACAUUUUUGCUAUAUCAAAACGCGUCAUUCCCUAGAAUGAUUUUGCCGAUAACCAUAGUAAUUUUUAAUUCUUUGCAACUGCAGGUAUUUGUUGGUAGCACUCCUACAUCUUCCUUCUUAUGGCCUCUAUGCAAUAUUCGUCAGAAUCAAAUACAAACUGAAGAGUUUUGCGUCGUAAGAAUCAAUUCUCAUUUCAUUUUGAAUGUUUCAACAGUGAAAGAAACAGAAUGUGAACAUAAGUUUAUCAUAUACCUAUAUGUCUUUAAAAAAACUCAGAACAGAUGAAUAUAAUCACCACAGUUUUUAAAUCAUCCCCCAAUUGUUUUGUUGAUAGAUAAAGCUUUGUAUUUACUGAUCCAAAUCGGUAUCAUGAAAGAGACUUUCUAUCCACUGAUUCAACACAAUGGCCAGAGGUUGUUGCCUCAUCCAACAGGUCAAGUCUUGUGCUGGCCAAAUGCUUCAUCAGCUUGCAAUGGUGAUAGAUAAACUAGUCUUCAUCUAUUGAACCAGUUUGGUCAAGGACUCAAAGCCUUAUCAAUCUGACCAAAAGCUUCCUCUUUUGAGCAUUUACCCUCAAUAACACAUCUUCAACAUUUCGUUUUGAGCUAAGAAAAGAUCUAACGGGCGGUUUCGAUAUAUACCGCAAGAUGGAAAACUAUACGACUCGAUUACAACAAGUACACUCGAAACAAAGCAUGGGAGCCAUGGAGGAAUAUAAUCUCAGUCUCAGCCAUGAAUUUUUUCGAGGAUAGUAACAAAAAGUUACCAAAACAUAUCUUUACAACCUACCCCUUUAUGAUAACUUAUUUACAAAAUAAGCCCAACCUUUGUGAAUAAAUAUCAGAUUAUCCCUAUAAGUUUUUAAUUUUUUCUAAUACGCCCCAAAGCUUCUAACGGGAACCCGAUAACUGCGCGACGUCGUAUAUGAAGCUUGCCUUAGAGUACAAGGGUCAAAAAGUAACUUUGACUCCACUGAAUUUGAAUUCGCUCUCUCUCUCUCUCUCUAGCUUUCUUCAUUGCUCUUCAAGUCUACUCUCGCACAGGUUAGAUUCGAUCGAUUCUCUCUGCGUUUCUCGAUUGUAUUUGCUCGAUUGUGAUCGGUCUCAGUGGAGCCAUUGCUAGCUCCGACUAGCCACACUAUCUCUUAGAUUUCGCUAAUCUGUUUCUAAGUUUGAGUCCCGGCGAGCGAUUAGAGCUCAAAUCAAAUUUCGAUUAGGAUCUGAGCAGAUUUUCGAUUUGAACUUGUGGAUGGUGAUAGACUAGUAAUGUUAGUGUUUACGAACUAAUCGAUCUAUCUAAGAUAUGAUGAUUACUUGACGAUUCUGAACAUCACGCUGUUGAGUAAAUCUGCAGAUCGCCAUGGAUACUCACACGCUUAAAUCCGUCUCCGAUUUGCCUCCAAAUUUUCGCUCAGCUUUUACUUUCAGGUGAUUAGAUUCAAGGAAUGUUAUCUUUGAAGACGAUGAUGAUGAUGAUUUGAUUAUCCAAACACCGUUUUUGAAUCCUUGUGGUGAUGGUUUGUGUUCAGAUACUUCAACUCGCUGCAGAGCGAGUGUUUUCCGCUUUGCUUUCACUCCGAUAUCAACAUGGUUAUCUCAGCCCCCACGGGAAGUGGCAAAACCGUGCUUUUCGAGCUUUGCAUCUUGAGGCUACUCUCCAAGUCUAUCUCUAGUGAUGGAAGGUUUCUCCAUGCUAAAGGAGCUCUUAAAACAGUAAGCUUGAGAUUGUUCUGAAUGUUUAAUUGCCUUUGUUUUUAACACUAAUAAAUUGGAGUGAUGCUAUGUUUGGUGUCGAGGUUUACAUAUCUCCGUCCAAGGCUUUGGUACAGGAGAAGCUCCGUGAUUGGAAUCAGAAGUUUAAUUCAUAGGGAAUCAGUUGUUUGGAGCUGACUGGUGAUAACGAAACCUACAGUUCGAAGAAUAUACAAGACGCUGAUAUUAUCUUGACCACACCUGAGGUCAGAUAUGUUACUGUUUCUGAUUACUUGCAGUGACAUUUUAUUCUGAAUUUAUACAGUGUACGUGCUUGUAUCUCCUCCUAGUGUUUGAUAUAGUUUACGUUUUUUUCCCCCUGCAGAAAUUUGAUGCAGUGAGUCGUUACCGCGUUAGCAGUGGAGGCUUAGGUUUUUUCAGUGAUAUAGCACUUGUGCUCAUUGAUGAAGUUCACCUGCUGAAUGAUCCACGGGGAGCUGCUCUGGAGGCAAUAGUCAGUAGAAUAAAGAUUCUUUCUAGUAACCAUGAACUAAGGUUAAGUACUUUAGCCUCCGUGCGCCUUCUGGCUGUCUCAGCUACAAUCCCAAACAUUGAGGAUCUAGGUAAGAUGUAGCUCACAGUUCUGUAGAUUGUAUGAUUAUUUUUAUUUUGCUUAGUUAACUUGUUUCAAAAAAGCUAAAGUGGUGAAUACAUAUUCAAUUACUGCAGCGGAAUGGCUCAAGGUUCCUACUGCAGGAAUAAAGAGGUAAUCUAUGGAUUUGGUUUUCAGAAAAAUAUGCCCUUUUGUCGUAAAAUGUUUUAGUUUCUUCAGUGUUUCCCUUCUCAUGUUGUAUAGGUUUGGCGAAGAAAUGAGACCUGUUAAGUUGACAACUAAAGUUUUUGGUACUUGCCGCACUCAAAACUUACUAUCUUGCCUUUCUUUUUUGGUUUAAUGUUAAGAUGCUCGUGUUGAUGAAUUUGGUUUUCUGUCUAUAACUUUCAUGUUUUCAUGAAUUUAAGUAAAUGGUUUUGUGCAGGAUAUGCUGCUGCCAAGAAUGAUUUCCUCUUUGAAAAGGUAUACAGUUUCUCAAUCUUUAUUUUCGUUAGUCUUUUCCCCUCUUGUCUCUUCAGUGAAUACAGAAACUAAGUCAAGUCUUGUUUCCUUGCUUUCGUUUUCUCAUACCCAGCGCCUCCAAAACUAUAUCUAUGGUAAGAUGCUAUUUUCAUGAUAUUCGUAGCUAUUGCUUAGGCUGUAACUUACGAGACUCUCUUGAGGAAAUCUAUGAAUUUGCAGACAUGUUAAUGCAAUACUCAAAAGGAAAAUCUGCCUUAGUUUUCUGCUCGACAAGAAAGGGCGCUCAGGAGGCUGCACAAAAGCUUGCGCAGACUGCAAUGACCUAUGGCUACUCAAAUCCAUUUGUUAAAAGUAGAGAACAGCUGGAACGAUUAAGGGAGGCUUCGCCAAUGUGCAGUGACAAACAAAUGCAGUCUUACAUUCUCCAAGGCGGUAUGGACUGUUUCAACUUUUUAAGCUUUGUUGAUCGUACAUAAUAUAUGGUUCAAUUCUGCAAGCUGAUUAGCACCGGAAUGGCUCAAUUAGUUGGAUAUCACAACGGUGGUCUUUGCCAAAAAGACCGCAGCCUGGUAGAAGGGCUCUUCCUUAGUGGAGAUAUCCAAGUUCUUUGCACGACCAACACUCUUGCUCAUGGAAUCAACCUACCUGCACAUACAGUCGUCAUCAAAUCAACUCAACAUUUGUACGUCUUUGCGUAGAUAAUUCCUUCGAAAAUUGUCCGGCACUUAAGUUAGUUUCCACUGACAUUGUUUGCCUUUCAGCAACAAAGAAAAAGGUCACUACAUGGAAUAUGAUCGUUCCACACUACUACAGGUAUGCUAUUCAAGCAUGUGUAGUUAUCAAGAUGUAAUAUUGCCACCUGAUUAUCUGCACAGGGUACUGGAAUGUGCUCUAAAUUAGAUUGCUAGCUAGAGAAGUAAUCUCUCUUUUCUAGAUGUGUGGCAGAGCUGGUCGGCCUCCAUUUGAUGACACGGGACUGGUUAUUAUUAUGACCAGAAGAGAGACGGUUAAACUCUGCAACUUUUCUCUGUACCUGAAUCUCUAAUUUUAAUUUUAUCUCAUGUCUUAUGCCUGUGAUUUAUUAAUUGACUGCAGGUCCAUCUAUAUGAAAAUCUCUUGAAUGGGUGCGAGGUUGUUGAAUCACAGUACGUAUUGGCCAAUAAACUUCUGUUUCCUUUGCUUUUUAAAACAUUCUUCAGAAUAUAUUUGUUGAUUUCAAGAAAUGCCUCCUCUUAAUUUUUUUUCAGAUUGCUGCCAUGCUUAAUAGAGCACCUAACCGCAGAAAUAGUCCAACUUACUGUCACUGAUGUUACACGGGCAAUUAAGUGGAUGAAGUGCUCAUACUUGUAUGUCAGAAUGAAAAAGGCACGUUCACGUGCUAUCUCAGUAAAUUGUCCAGUAACUUUUUUACGAUCAUAUACGGUAUAACUAACUUCGAAGUUCGUUUGGACAGAAUCCAGAGAACUAUGCUAUUAAGAAAGGAAUUCCUAAAGAUCGAGUAGAGAAGCAUUUGCAAGGUACCCUAAGUGACUUUGCCAUAUUACCUCAUUUUUUCUUUUUAAGUACUCAUUAGUCCUAUGUCCUAUUAGAGCUUUGCCUUCAGAAGAUCAAUGAGUUGUCAAGCUAUCAGAUGAUAUGGACUGACACAGACGGUUUUGUUUUGAAACCAGAAGGUAUUGAAAUUUAUGAUUGCAUAUUUCCGAUUUUAAAAGGUAAACGUCUCAUUGUUUUGUGUAGAGCCCGGAAGGCUGAUGACAAAGUACUAUCUAAAGUUUGACACAAUGAAGUAUAUUAUUAAUGCGCCAACGGGCUAUAGCUUGGACGAGGCUCUUCAUAUUGUAUGCCGUGCUGAAGAGAUAUCUUGUAUGUCAAAUCUGCUUUGGUACAUACCUCUUUUUAAGUGAUGAAUACACUAAUAUUGUUUAUCUGUAAAAUGAAGGGAUACAACUCAGACGCAAUGAGAAGAAGACCUUAAACGAUGUAAACGCAGAUAAAGAAGGGCGGCUCAGAUUCCACAUCAACGAUAAUAAAGGAAAGCGGAAAAAACGCAUCCAAACCAGAGAAGAGAAACUAUUUGUGCUUGCAAAUGAUUGGUUGACUGGGGAUCCUUCAGUCCAUGAUUUAUCCAUGACUCAGGUACACUAAGAUUGUAUUCAUGGCUCCACCUAAUGACUUUAUCACCACCCUUACUUGUUAUCUCUGCAUCUGAAAGCUGGACUUUUUUGUCUCAGGACGCUAACUCCUUAUGCUCGAAUGGAUCCAGAAUAGCUAGAUGCAUGAAAGAGUACUUUAUAUAUAAAAAGAAUUAUAAAGGAACGAUUAGCUCAACUCUUCUUGCCAAAUCACUCUUUCAAAAGCUCUGGGACGACAGUCCAUAUUUGCUGAAACAAUUGCCUGGCAUUGGAAUGGUUACAGCAAAGGUUCAGUUUCUGUCUGCUCUAUAUAAGCUCAUUCAUUGCACGCACCUUACCUUUUUCAGAUCCUUCAGUGUUGGUAACUUUUGUCUGUCUACAUUCUUUUGCUAGGCACUUCAUUCGAUGGGGGUCAGGUCAUUUGAAGCUCUUGCUGAGGCUGAUCCAAGAAGGAUAGAGAUUGUUACCGGUCGAAAAUAUCCUUUUGGAAAUCAUAUCAAGGAAUCUCUAUCUUCCCUACCUCCAAAAGUAGAAAUCAAGGUCGAGGAAGUUGAGAGUCAGAAGCAAGGGGUAUCUAAACUAGCAGUCACAUUGACUCGACUAUCACAACCUCUCGUAUCCACAAAACGCCAUUAUGCUGAUAUGGUUGGUUGCCUUAACUUUCUGCAGUAUAAUUCUAACCUACUGGAAAAAACCGUAACCGUAUCUACUCUUCUCUGCACAGUCUUGUGAUUUAUAAAAGAUAACUAGUAAAUGAGCUACUAAUCUGUAUCCUUUCCUGGUAGAUUGUUGGCUCAGAGGAAGAAAACCAUAUCCACUUUCAUGAGAAAAUAAGGUAAUGAGCACUUGAACAACUAUAAUCUAUCACGUCUCUUUUUACACAUUCAUGUAACUGUCAACUAAUCAUUUUUUAUGGCAACAGAAUGGAUGACUUCUCCAGGUAUAUGCUUACCUGUCCCCUUACUCUUUCAUCAUUAACCCAAUGCAGCUCUCUCAUCUAUCAUUUUCAUUAAAAAAAAAUUUCCUUACGUCUUUAGUCCCUAUAGCGUCACCAUACUCGUUGAAAGGCCCCAACAGGCUAAGGUGACUGUGAAGGCUGAUCUCAUCUUUGAAGAAUACAGUUAAGUCUAUUAAAUAACACAAUUGGUUUUGUAGCAAAACUUGAUUAUCAAGUAGUAAGUGAUACACUAUAACAUAAACUAAUCAAGUGUGUGCAUUUCCUGGAUUUUGAUUUGUAGUUGGAAUUGAUCUCCAUGAAACACUUCUACUUAAGAAGGCAAACAACAACACAGUAAAUUACAAAAGUGAAAACAGGCUGCCACACUAUUAUCCUCCCAUGGUGGAUGUCUGCGUAGUGGAUGAUAACAGCCCAGUAAAAUCUGCACCACCAAACCGAAAGAAUCAAAAAGAUGAGAUGUGAGUCCAUUAUCUUUUGCUUUCUUGCUCAGAAAGUGUCUUAUUAUCGAUUUCUUCUACAGGCCUAGUUUCAAGCUCAUAGAUGAAGAUUCAGAAGAAGGUUAGAUGCUCAAUACAACUUUAAAUCCAUUGCAAGUUAUUUUGUGCGAUGUGUUCCAUUGAGCACUUUGGAACCCAAUGUUCUUUGCAGAGAAAGAGCCUUAUGUGACGAUGGAAGAAGACGACUGCGUCAUUCUCAAUGAACAUACAGUGUUCGACCACAUACGUCAAAAAGCAAAGUGUUUCCCAUCAUUGAUCGCUUUGAAUCCAACCUCUCCGGCAACUCUGAAAAGGAAGAGCUUAAUGAAGAAUUCUCCUGAACUCGAUCCGCUAUUUCAGUAUGAUUCUGUGUUUCGCUCACCCACAAAUACGAAAGACAUCAAACAAAGCGCACAAAAAAUCACAAGCCCAGUUUAUGCAAGCAAUGGUGAGUAAAUCUUCGUGCAUUCUAAAGUUUAUAAUCUGUUUAUACACUUUUUCUUAAACACUACAUUGAUCUGAAAAAGGGAAAACAGAGAGACCAUUCUCAGAUGAGACAGUAUUCAACUACAUAAGGAAAAGGUCCAAGAACUCUCCCAUACUCGCCACAUCAACAAUUGAGGAUCAUAUAACCAUCUCUUCUCAAGAACGAAGAAACACAAAGACAAGUCCCUAUACAUCAUACAGGUUAUUGCCUAGUCCUUCUGCUAAAAUACCAAGCAUCAAAUCUGAUGCACCUGCAGAAAUGCUGUCGUUUGAUAUCUCAAUGGCAAAUAGUAGCAACACCAACUUAGAGGAGAAGAAGAAAGGAUCCUGCUCCCAACUUGCAGGUAAGUCCAAUGGUUCUGAUCCUUUUCUUGGAUUUAAAAGCAUCUUCUCUUUUCUGUGACUUUCUCAUUUGCAUGUCAAUACAAAACUGAGUGUUAUUGAGUAUCUAUAGUCUCUUCAUGCUGAUAUGAUACUAAUAGUAAGUGAUAAAACUGCAUUACAUUAAAAAGAAACUGAAGAAUAACCAAGAUAAAAAAGAGUUUUAUAGUGCACUGCAUCAAUUGUUUACGAAGUAAAAUUAAAUAAUAACUUUUGAAUGCUACAAAGAGCACCUAGUGUCUUCUAAGUUCUCUGAUACGUCAGCACAAAAACUCAACUGCUUUCUCUAUCCCCUCUGAUCUGUAAGGUGAAAUGCUAUGGUUGAUUCCAUCUUGAGCUGUACCCAAUAAGUCAUUCUCAAUGCACUCAUACAUUAAUUUGCAGACUUUAUCAACCACAAGACCAAUAUCUCUGGUCUCACCCCUCAUCUUCUUUAACUCAUCAGAGCUAUACUCAUCAAAAGACACGUUUAGAAUCUUUGAUAGUGUUUCAAUAUUACCUGUGAGUUGCUGCUGCUGGUUUUCAAACAGAUUCUUCUUUAUCUCUCUGUCUUCAUCGCUCAUCUUAUCUUUAAACAGCUCUUCUCCAAACAUGUAGAAGGCGAAAGGAUACGACUUUGAAAGUAUUUUUCGUGAUCUGAAUAAUAGGUCGGCUCCGUUUACUGCCCAGUCCAUGGUUUUAAAUGUUGAAUCUUUAGUCUUUGAUGUCACCAAGGCUGCCUUCUCACGGACAAUCUUUCUAAGUUCGUCCUCUUGCUUCGAAGAAUCGGUGUGUGAUUUGUAUUGGUGAAGAUAAUGUGCGUACCUAUCUGAAUCCCUGUUGGCUCUCUCCGUUUGCCUCACUUUGUCUUCUUUGUACCUACCACAAUCAUGACCCGAGAUGCUCGUCCAGGUAUGGUCUCUUCCAGUAGCUCCACCACACAGCCAACAAAAAUACUGUCCGCAAAUACAAGUCACGAGAUUACAUCCAACAGUCUUGUGAACAGGUUUGCUGCAUUUGGGACACAUCCUCGUGUGAAUGGUUAACCAAGUAACUGACUCAGACUCAUCUUCACACUUCUUGGUCCAUAGCUUCCACAUCAAGCAAGAGCAAGGAGAGUGGGACUCACCAAGACAGGUGAAACAGAACUGAUGACCACACGAACAUUCAACCUCGCCUCCAUCAUCAUCCACUUUUCUUAUCGCGUUCCCGCAGUGCGGUGUGCUUGGACACCACUUGACGAGUUUGUUAUCGUCCACGUAUGACUCAACGAGGAAACGAUCAAACUUCUCAGCUAACUCGGGACAAACUAGCGUCCUAACAGCAUCUGCAUCGCAAAUCGCGUUGCACUUAUGAGCCAUGCAUGCGAUCCUUUUGCUCUGACCUUCGUUGAUCUUGAUAGUAAAAUGCUCUUUCCAACAAUCAUUGCAAAAGGAAUGACCACACUCCAUUCCCGUCAUCGCAUGACUUGGUAAAUCAUCUUCCAUGCAGAUGUCACAAGCCAUCUUCUUCCUCGAUUUACUCAAAGAAGGAUGAUCAAAGACGCUAAGACCAGCACUUUUGAACAAGCUUUCUUUGCCUCUCUCGAUAUAGACAGCGAACAAGUUGUCCACGUUCCACUGGUAAUGAAUAAGAAGUGUCCUAGCUUGGCUCUCCUUGACCGAUAAGGACUCCAUAACCCUAACCAAAACUUCCUUCUGUGCCGCUACAAGAGAUUCCAUCGUGAUGAUUUGGCACGUUGAGUUUUUGGAGGACACGCGUUGCAACUCUGGCUCCUCGUAAUAAUCCUCCUGAUAUUGAUCGAAGGAAUCAUAGUCCUCCUCCUCCUCGUAGCUCAUAUAAUCGUCGUCCAUCGAUCAAAACUAUUACAACGAUCAAGUUAUCGAGAAAUAGGAGGCGAUCAAGAGGGAAAAAUAUCAAGCAAGGGAGAGAAUGUAAACGAAGAACUCGAUCGCGCAAAUCCUUAUAGGGUAAGGGUAAGUAUUGUAACCUUUAUGUACUGUAUAAAGUAAAUCUACUUUUCCUUUUUACUUAUUUAUGUAAGACUUUCUAUAAUGUAUUUAGAAGGGAAUAUUUUAGGGGAUGUUAACAACCUAAAAAAAGGUUUAGUUGAGAUUCUAGUUUAUCGAUUUAUGAAUUCUUAAAAUAUUGAUAAAGUCUAUUAUUCAAAUCUUUGUUAUUCAAGAAGUGUAUAUGUGACUGAUUCUUUAAUUCUAGGUAAUUCCAAUGUUGGGUAUUGAGAAAGUAAAUUUUUAUUCUUUUAUGAGAUUUUCAAAAAUCUAUUUAGUAAAAAAAAAAGUUAAGGAACCAAAUGAAUAUUUUAAAGAAAUAUAUUUUGCAACUUCAAUACAAAUUAUACUACUAGUGUUGGAAUCUAGGAUCAUGUUACUCCCUCGAACUCACUCCUCGGCUGCUUUGGAAGCGAUUUUAACAGAAAGAUGAUCGCAUAAAACAUGGUCUAAUUGGACGAGGGGAUUAAUGUUGUGCGGAUCAAAGAUAACGAUGUCUUUUAGGAGGAUAGGAGUGAUUAGGAAUGGAUGAACUAUGUUUGAUCUUAUAAUGUCCACGGAUUCGUCACGCUGGUGUACAAGAAGCACACUUCUGUAUCACGCUUUAGUCUUAUCUCUAAAGUGUUGGAUGAAAACUUCAUGAUGCGGUCUCCUUUCCAACAUUGUUGUUUUCUAAAAUUAGCACAAGUGAAUGAAAGAGUUUAUUAAAUACUGUUGACUUAGUCGGCCAAGAUUUUUCUUUAUUCUUUCUAUUUUUUCUAUUUUGGAUGACAAAGAAUGAAUAAAAGCAAAGUUUAGGCAAAAAAAAAUGAAUAAAAAGAAAAUCUUAUAUAUUUGAUUCUUUUAAUUUGGACUCAAAACCCUAGUCGCGGGCACAUGGUAUUUAAAAAAAUAAAAGGAUGACAUGUUUCAUGACAUUUGUCGACCAAGCUAAAACUUGAAGAGUCCUCCUGCUCCCCUCUCCCUCCUCCCGGUAUGUUUGAACAAAGUAUAAGCCGAGAUAAACAAAAAUAUUCUAUUCAUUUCCAUGACUGAACCCACAAAUAACUCUUAAUGGGAGAUUUGAACUGCACACCAAAACUUUACUACCUUUCACCAAACUUCGAUCUAAUGUGUCAUAUUUACUUAUUAAUCAUUUAAUGUAUACUUAUGUUUUUUCUUAUACUUAUGUUUUUAAUUAAUGAUUUUUCAUGAUUAAAAAACAAAAAUAAUAUAAGAACACUUAAAGAAACAAAAAUAAUAUAAUGCAGUUAAUAACUAUUGAUAUUUAUAUUAAUUUUAGUGUAUUAACAUAAGUAUAUGUUUAUCAUUUUUAAUUUCGUUAUAAGAAAAUAAACAUUUUAACAAAAAAUAAUAAAUAAUCAUGUUUGAAUGAGAUCUAUCACUCAUGUAACAAAUAUAGUAGAACCUCUAUAAAUUAAUAAUGUUGAAACUUUAAAUUUUAUAAAUUUAUAGAGAUAUUAAUUUACAAAAGUUUUUUAUUUAGAUUUUUUAUUUUAAGAUAUAUUUAUUCUAAGAUAAUAAAAAAUAUUUGAUUUUAGUGUAUAGACAUUAAUUGUUAUUUUUUUUUUAAAUUUGACAUUUAUAUUAAUGUUAUUAUAUUAUUUGGUGUAUAUAAUAUAUAUUGCAAAGAACUCAAAUGUGGUUUUUAGAUAUAAUACUAUUAAAUCUCAUCAAAAAUAUAUUAAGUAUUAAGAAAAUAUAAAGAUAAUUCGAUUGUGAAUAUAAAACAAACAAUAUAAUAAUAGAUUUUUAAUUAUAUAAAAUAUGUAUACAUAUAAAUAAUUAAUUUAUAAUUUUAAUGGGACCAUAUAUUCACAUAUAAUUUUUUUAAAAAAUUAUUAUCCUAUUAUUUUAUCGAUUUGUGUCAAAUUUUGAACAUGUCCAAAUUGAAACCGACGAAGUUUAUUAAUUUAUAGAAAUUAUUAAUUUAGGUUUUACUGAAAAAAAAAUUGAAAACUUUGCAGAUAAGCAACACAAAUUAAUAGAAAAUAUUGGGUCAUUCUGUAAAUUAAGAAAAUUCUCGGGGUAGCAAAUCCAAAUUCCCUUUCUAGCCUCUCUCUCUCUCUCUCUCGCUCGCUCAGCAGCUCUUCAAACCCUAACGCCGAGACCAGUCGAUAUCGGCGACGUGAUUCUCUCAGGUUUCUCCUCGUAAUCCUGAAAGACUCGACGGCGAAGAAUCUCCCCCACGGAUUUAGUCUUCAUUGGCGAUCCCUCCUCCGAAGAUGUCCGUCCAUUGCUUUUGAUUUAGGUCAUCGGACCUGAAUCCGAUUUGUUGCUCUGAAGAAGAGCAAACGAGUCAUCUGCUAAGCUAUUUCGUGAGAAUCUGUAAGAUUCGUUUUCCCUUUCGAAGAUUGUUUUGUUUCGGAAGCUCUCUAGGUUCGUUUAAACCCUAAUUUCACGCUGCUCGUAAAUAUUCUAUUCAUUUCCAUGACUGAACCCACAAAUAACUCUUAAUGGGAGAUUUGAACUGCACACCAAAACUUUACUACCUUUCACCAAACUUCGAUCUAAUGUGUCAUAUUUACUUAUUAAUCAUUUAAUGUAUACUUAUGUUUUUUCUUAUACUUAUGUUUUUAAUUAAUGAUUUUUCAUGAUUAAAAAACAAAAAUAAUAUAAGAACACUUAAAGAAACAAAAAUAAUAUAAUGCAGUUAAUAACUAUUGAUAUUUAUAUUAAUUUUAGUGUAUUAACAUAAGUAUAUGUUUAUCAUUUUUAAUUUCGUUAUAAGAAAAUAAACAUUUUAACAAAAAAUAAUAAAUAAUCAUGUUUGAAUGAGAUCUAUCACUCAUGUAACAAAUAUAGUAGAACCUCUAUAAAUUAAUAAUGUUGAAACUUUAAAUUUUAUAAAUUUAUAGAGAUAUUAAUUUACAAAAGUUUUUUAUUUAGAUUUUUUAUUUUAAGAUAUAUUUAUUCUAAGAUAAUAAAAAAUAUUUGAUUUUAGUGUAUAGACAUUAAUUGUUAUUUUUUUUUUAAAUUUGACAUUUAUAUUAAUGUUAUUAUAUUAUUUGGUGUAUAUAAUAUAUAUUGCAAAGAACUCAAAUGUGGUUUUUAGAUAUAAUACUAUUAAAUCUCAUCAAAAAUAUAUUAAGUAUUAAGAAAAUAUAAAGAUAAUUCGAUUGUGAAUAUAAAACAAACAAUAUAAUAAUAGAUUUUUAAUUAUAUAAAAUAUGUAUACAUAUAAAUAAUUAAUUUAUAAUUUUAAUGGGACCAUAUAUUCACAUAUAAUUUUUUUAAAAAAUUAUUAUCCUAUUAUUUUAUCGAUUUGUGUCAAAUUUUGAACAUGUCCAAAUUGAAACCGACGAAGUUUAUUAAUUUAUAGAAAUUAUUAAUUUAGGUUUUACUGAAAAAAAAAUUGAAAACUUUGCAGAUAAGCAACACAAAUUAAUAGAAAAUAUUGGGUCAUUCUGUAAAUUAAGAAAAUUCUCGGGGUAGCAAAUCCAAAUUCCCUUUCUAGCCUCUCUCUCUCUCUCUCUCGCUCGCUCAGCAGCUCUUCAAACCCUAACGCCGAGACCAGUCGAUAUCGGCGACGUGAUUCUCUCAGGUUUCUCCUCGUAAUCCUGAAAGACUCGACGGCGAAGAAUCUCCCCCACGGAUUUAGUCUUCAUUGGCGAUCCCUCCUCCGAAGAUGUCCGUCCAUUGCUUUUGAUUUAGGUCAUCGGACCUGAAUCCGAUUUGUUGCUCUGAAGAAGAGCAAACGAGUCAUCUGCUAAGCUAUUUCGUGAGAAUCUGUAAGAUUCGUUUUCCCUUUCGAAGAUUGUUUUGUUUCGGAAGCUCUCUAGGUUCGUUUAAACCCUAAUUUCACGCUGCUCGUUGUUACUAGAAUGGACUUAGCUUAAUCGGUUAGGAUUCUCGAGUUGUUGCGAACAUUAGAUCGCUAGAGUUUCGUUUUGUAUGCGAGAGACGAGAAGCUCUGCGUUAUCCAUGGAGCUUUCAGUUUCCUCUCCGAAGCAGAGCGUGUUAUCUUCAUCAGAUUGUAUGAGUGACCCUGAGGAGGAGCACGAGAUCAGCGAGGAGGAGGAUGAUGACGAUCGCAACCAUAAGCAUCGUAAGAAAGAAGAGACGAGUUCUCAGUCCUUGGAGCAAGGCUCUUCAGAUCAGGCUUUCUCGCGGCCCUUCAGGAAAAGUUAUAGACAUUUUGAGAAUGGUAGUGAACAUGAGAAACGGUCGUCUCUAGGGGCGGGAGGAUCAGGACACCGUGUACAGUUUGAUAACCAAAGAUCAAGAUCAAACCAUGGUAGAGGUAGAGGAAGUUAUGGUUCUUGGAGUCAGCGUGAUUCCAGGUUUAAUCAUCCUGUUGAUCUCUCAUCUCAUAUGGUUCCGGGGAUGUUUGGAGGGAGGGGGAUAGCUGCUCAAACCGCACCUUGGCCUGGGUUUGGAAUGCUUCCUGGAGUUCCCAAUGGUGGCUUGGAUGGUUUCCAUCACUUGCAAGGGCCUCUAGGACCGCCGUUGAAUGGUCCACUCAACAUGGGGAUUCCUCGGCAGCGAUGCAGAGAUUUUGAGGAACGUGGGUUCUGCCUCAGAGGGGAUAUGUGUCCCAUGGAGCAUGGAAUCAAUCGUAUCGUUGUUGAUGAUGUUCAGGUAUGUUAAUUUUUUUUUGGGAUCGGAUUUAUCUCGUAAAUAGAAAUCUAGAGGUUUUGCUGGAUAUUUGAGAUCUAUUUGCAUGUUCCUAUGCUGAAGUUCAACACAUUUAUGCCCAUCAGCAGUACUUCUAGUUCUAGGUGACAUGAAAUGAAACUCUUUACUUUUUGUUAGUGUUAGCUUUAGCUGGCAUGGGUCUUAGAAACAGCUAAUUUCCAUACUAAUUUUUUAACAGCUACUUUGUAUAGCAUGACUAAUUUCUUACUACUGCCAUUUUAAGACACUGUUCUUCUCUUGUGUAUACUUAACUGAGUAAUUUUCGUUCAUUUUGUAUUUUUGCAGAGUCUAUCACAGUUCAACCUUCCCGUUUCUGUCCCUGGUGCACCUCAUAUGGCAGCUUCUUCCAAACCAGUGCCUGCACAGUUUGGGGGUGCUAAUUUCAUGAAUACGAAAGGAGCUCAUGGGAAGACUAACGAGACUGGAAUGGCUGUUGAUGGUAUGGGUUAUGGUGAUGCAUAUCCUAGUGCAGGUGGAACUGAUUCUUACGAUCCUGAUCAACCUUUGUGGAAUAACAGUGCUGGUGAAACUUCAGGGGCAUUAUCUGCUCUAAAUUCUCAUGGGAUUGAUGAGAAUGUCGCUCCAAUGGAUGACAAUAACCAAGAUGGCCCUGUAAAUACAUAUGGUAUUCGAGAAUCAAGAAACAAUAAUCAGUCGGGUUGGGGCAGAGUGCGUAAUAGUCAAGCAAAUCUCAAAGAGAAAGGUGAUACUGUAUUAAAUUCAUCAGCUGGUCCUGAAGGUCAAUCGAAGGAGAUCUCAGUUAGUUUAUCCCGCCAAAACAAUGUUGGGGGAAGUGUCGCAAAAGCUGUUGAUUCAUCAAACGCUUCAAACGAUGCAGUGAAUAAUACAAGAACACCAAUGCAAAAGGCAAUGCGGACUCUAUUUGUGAAUGGUGUUCCCCACGAGAGCAACAGAAGGGACCUCAUUCUCGCCCAUUUUCAGAAAUUUGGGAAAGUUAUUGACAUUCACAUCCCAGUAAAUAGCAACCGAGCAUUUGUUCAAUUCUCAAAACGCGAAGAGGCUGAGUCCGCUCUCAGGGCACCUGAUGCUGUUAUGGGUAACCGCUUUAUCAAACUUUGGUGGGCAAAUAGAGAUAGUAUACCUGAUAAUGGCCUGUCCAGUGGGAAUGGUGCUUUUAUGAAGGGUCGUGUCGUGGGUGCUUCUGGAGGACAGAACCAGAUUCCUAUCUCUGCAGCAUCGAAAAGCAACCAUGUAUCUCUUACUGCGAAAGGGCCUGCCUUCCACCCUGGUGGAGCUCCAUCAUCAUCUCAACAGCCUAAGCCUGUGGGGGUCACUAGUGGUCCCAAGGUUAUGCCGCUUCAGCAGAAAAAAGCAGACACUCUUGAGCAGUUGAAAGAGACACUUCGGAAAAAGCAGGAAAUGCUGGAUCAAAAGCGUAACGAGUUAUGCAAAAAGUUGGCGACUCUUCAAAAACAAGUAAGUACAAGUAACUGGAUCCCGUUUCAUUUUUGUCAAUCGUUAAUACCUUUUUGAAGGAAAUAACAAUUUAGCAGUCUCCAGGAAGUUAAGCAGAAUUAGAGUGAGUUCUGAGUUCUGAGGAUUUGAAUCUCAGAGGUGUCUUUGGGAAACAUUGAAGAAGUGUAAAAUGCUAGACAAGUACAGAUCUGAGUUCUCAGUAUGUUAAAAUUGAGUUUGUUUAACACGAAAUUCUGAGUAGACGUGUGUUGUGAUAUAUAUUCAAUUUUUUCUUUGGGGUGUUUAACCGAAUAAAUAAAUGAAUUAUACACUAGAAACAUAAUUGCUGCCUGUCUUAUUCAACAGUGGUAAAUGGUUGAGUUGAAAUUAUUUACUAGCAUUCAUAUCAUAUAGCUCUAAAUCUUCUCAGGAAACGGGUGUUAAAGACGAGGAAGCAGAUGAGCCAGAUGCUAAGCGCGUUAAGGUGGACACAGCCUCGAACUCCGGUACUGCAAUCCCAUCACCAAAAACAGAGUCAUUGACUGAGAAGAAAGGGCCUAUCAAGAAACCACUUUCUAUUGCUAGACCAAGCACAGAAACGCCAUCGCCCGAUUUGAAAAACUUAAAGCAAAGACCGUAUUCGUAUACCACAAGUUUGAACACUCCUAUGGUAAAUAGGUAUAAGUUGGACAACCGCACGACUACCAUCAAAGUUGUCCCUCCUUUGCCAACCGGGCUAGCCGAUGUAUGUCCCCUUUAUGAAUUUGCAAAACUUUCUCAUUUUCCAUAUUGGAUGUUGUUAGCUUCUACUUUGAUUAUUAAGUCUCUUACUGAUGGUUUGAACUAUUUUUUUGCUUCUAGGUUGCUGUCUUAAAAGAACAUUUCUCUUCUUAUGGCGAGGUCUCAAAAGUGGAACUCGAAGACAAUGCAUCGGCUGAUAGUGGCAAGGAUCAGGAUGAAACACAUAACAAAAGCCUUGCAGCCUGUGUGACAUUUGUGAAACGCAGCGCAGCAGAGAAAGCGUUUGCUAAUGCAAAGUCUUGGCAAGAACACACGUUGCAGCUCGUGUGGGUAACACGUCAAAUCAAGAAAGAGAAUAAAAGUAGCAAUGACAAGAAUAAUCCCUCUGUUUCUAGUGACCACCUUAGCAGCAAAAACAAGUCCGCUGCUUCUGUUUCUAAUGACCCGAAACCAGAAGAUGAAGUCAAAGCCUCUUCUACAGAAGAACCAAAGAGCACAAAUGUCUCUGGAGACGACAAUACAUUGAAUGAACAAGACAAUGGCAGCAAUAAAAGUAAUAGCGAGUCCAACGAGGGAGCUGAAAAAGUUGCAGCGCCAGAAAGUGAUGAAGAACAGAUGAAUGGUUAAGCUGGGCAAGAAGACUGUCAGUGAGGUAAUCUUUUGUCUCAGAAACAUAAUCUUUAUUUGUUGGUGAAUCUGGUAUAGUGAUCUUUUAGGCUUUUUAGCCAAUCAGUGAGACGUUAAUAUUUGUUGGUAGCAAAAGAUAUAUUUAUAGUUUUUUCCUCCUUUAUAUGGAUAGUAGAAGUGUAUUGUUACAUUUGGCCUUCCAAGAACAGUGGUUGGGUCUUUGUAUCAGCAGGUCUUUGUUUUCCUCUUUUAUUAGCUUCUAUAACAAUCUUGACUUGUGUUGUACAUACAUAGUUGGACUUCGUGACUUGCUUUAGUCGAGUCGAAGAAUGGUGUGGAAUCUAUAAAACGGCACGCAUUUUUGAAGUUUAUGCAAUGUUUUCUUUGGUAAUUUCACAGGUUUGGAAUCCUAGAAACUAUAUGCUUUCAUUAAACAACAGAUGUAGAGAAAUGAGAUUGAAAUUCGAUGAUUUAUGUCUGAGCAGUUCACAACACAAGACAAGGGCCUCAAGCUAACGAUGAUUUCUUUCAUUAAGACAGAACAUCAAACCAACAGACAUACAUUAAUUGUAUUAAAAACAUACAUUAUCUGAUAAUAUUCUAUUUUCCGGGGACAAAGUUGGUGGCGUAAGCCCAGGCAUUGUUAGCCACAGGGUCCGCAACAUGGUCAAACAGAUUCUCGAUCGGUCCUUUACCAGUGACAAUGGCUUGGACAAAGAACCCAAACAUGGAGAACAUGGCAAGCCGACCGUUCUUUAGCUCCUUCACUUUCAAUUCCGAAAACGCCUCCGGAUCCUCCGCUAAGUUCAACGGGUCAAACGCCCCUCCAGGGUAAAGCGGGUCAAGCCCUUCACCAAGAGGUCCACCUCCAAUUCUGUACCCUUCGAUCAACCCCAUCAGCACAACUUGAGAAGCCCAGAUAGCUAAUAUGCUUUGCGCGUGGAUCAAGUUAGGGUUUCCGAGGUAAUCAAGCCCUCCUUCUGAGAAGAUCUGAGACCCUGCCUUGAACCACACGGCUUCACCGAAUUUGACUCCGUUUUUGGAGAGAAUCUCUGGGAAUGUGCAACCUAAAGCGCCGAGCAUUGCCCAUCUGCUGUGGAUUACCUCCAGCUCACGGUUCUUCGCGAAGGUUUCUGGGUCGGCUGAGAGACCGGCGGUGUCCCAACCGUAGUCUCCGGGGUAUUCACCGGUAAGGUACGAUGGUGUGUUCUCUGAGAAUGGUCCUAAGUACUUGGGACGGUCUGGUCCGUACCUGUCACAAUAUGUUUGUAGUGUUGAAAUAUUAUAUGUUUUUGGUGUGAUUAAUAAAAUCAAAACUGAGGAAGCAAAAAAUAUUGGAGUAAGAACCAGAUGCUCUGAGGAGUAGACUUGACGGUACGACGCAUGACGACGCGGCCACCGCCGUUGGAAGCUCCUACUUUGCGGAGGAGAUCGUUGGAAGGCUUCAAAGCCGUUUGUCCGGCGAAAGAGGAGUGCUGGAUUACUGAUGUGGCCAUUCUUGUUUAUCUCAACUCCAAACAGAAACAAAGAGAGAAAUAAACAAAGAUGAGAUGAGAUGAGAUGGUGUUUGUAUUUUUGAUUUUAUAACAGGGAUCCCAAGGUAGGGAGAUUAGCAUAUGGACAUGCAAGCGAGUUCUAAUUGGUCUAUAAGAUUUUCACAAACUCGAAUCACGUGGUGCAGUAGAUAGAUAGAGGCUACGGUUGUGCCACGUGGCUGUUGGAGAUUUUGUGCCAAGAGGAUAGUGUUCCAACAGUCAUGAGGCUUCUCUUGUUGCCCAUUGGCUAUGCUUACGAUUGCGAUGAUAAGAAAUUAAGAACAACCUUUGCAGCAUAUAUAUUUCCUUUUAUCCCACUUUAUUUCACUCACAAAAUAUUUUAUUUGGACAUAACAAAACGAACUUACACAUAAUUCACAAAUAUUCAAAAAAAAAACGAAGAAACUGGGACACAAAAGUAAAAUUACAUAAUUGCCUUUUCCAACAUAAACCCACAACUUUAUAGAAGGUUCCUCCUUGCCUUACGCUAAAGUCCUCUUUGCCUGAACCGGCUCUCUGGUCUCAGUGGUCAGACUAGUAUCGUGGGCUUCAUGGGCCUUAUCCUGCACAUACUGUCCCAUCUCUUUUCCCUUCUGACCAGCGUAGCCUACUGCAUCAGCCAUACGCCGCUUAGCAUAGUCCAGUUGCUCCGGCACCGUAUCACUCGUCCCACGGAUGUAGUUUAGGACCCAUGAGACCGAGCUCAGACCCGUCAGACCAAAUAACCCAGACGCCAAAAUUCCGGUCACAGCGAGCCCUAUGGUGAGAGCGGCUGGGACAAUCACGGGACUGAAGAGGAGGAAGAGCUGAAUGGAGAGAAUCAAACUUAUCACAGAACCGGCUANNNNNNNNNNNNNNNNNNNNNNNNNNNNNNNNNNNNNNNNNNNNNNNNNNNNNNNNNNNNNNNNNNNNNNNNNNNNNNNNNNNNNNNNNNNNNNNNNNNNNNNNNNNNNNNNNNNNNNNNNNNNNNNNNNNNNNNNNNNNNNNNNNNNNNNNNNNNNNNNNNNNNNNNNNNNNNNNNNNNNNNNNNNNNNNNNNNNNNNNNNNNNNNNNNNNNNNNNNNNNNNNNNNNNNNNNNNNNNNNNNNNNNNNNNNNNNNNNNNNNNNNNNNNNNNNNNNNNNNNNNNNNNNNNNNNNNNNNNNNNNNNNNNNNNNNNNNNNNNNNNNNNNNNNNNNNNNNNNNNNNNNNNNNNNNNNNNNNNNNNNNNNNNNNNNNNNNNNNNNNNNNNNNNNNNNNNNNNNNNNNNNNNNNNNNNNNNNNNNNNNNNNNNNNNNNNNNNNNNNNNNNNNNNNNNNNGAAAAACAACAAUUAUAGUUUUUCCAUAUUGUAAACUGUCUUCGUUUAACAUGAGUUAGGGUUCUUUUCAUCAUUGUCUCAGACAAGUUUGAGUUACAGAGUUGCACCAUGUGUCCGUUCGUAAUCUAUUUUUUCACCGGUGAACUCUUCAUCUCCCCAUCUUAAAUCGCUUGAUCUUAAAUGUUCCUGAUUUGUAGUCUUUCUGUAAACCCUAUAUAUAUGAUUCUCAUCUUUGAUGAACUCAAUCUGCAUCUCCAAAAAACUCAUUGAUUCCUCUCAGCUUUAACGAUCUUCUAGAAAAUAUCUUUAUGCCUCUCCAGUUCCUCAAACCGGCGUUCCCGACAUCCGUCACUCAACCAUCGAGUCUCUCCGUGUUGGUAGUAGUAGUCAGAGCAUAGCCUCUAACCUCCUCGCUUAUGGGAUUUCCUGAACUUCAAGAAAGACAGUGAGUUUAUGGGAAUCACGGUUCUCUUCCUUGAUGAAAAGGUAAGUUAAUCUUCGAUUUAUCACACUUAUUUAAUAUAAUUGUUUUUAAUUGAUUUCCUGAUUCUUUGUUGAAUAAUAUUAUUUGCAGAUUCCGUGAUUCAUGGGUUUAUUCCCGCCGGACGUGCUAGUCAUUACAUGUCAUCUUUGAAAGCCGGUUCCAUUGCGAAAAUCGAUCGUUUUGAGGUUGUUAGGUGGUCAAGCAUGCACAAGAUAACUGAUCAUUCAUUCCUCAUUCAUUUCAUCUCACCAACUAUUAAUGAUGAAGUCAUCACGGGUGCUCCUGAGAUCAAUUUCCAGUCAUAACUAGACUGUUCGACAAUUUUCAAGUGAUUGCAAACACAAACCUAGAACUCCCAGGUAUAUUAUCAUAUUGCAUCUGGGUUUAUAUUAUAUUUCGAUAUCAUAACUGAUAUUUAAACUCGCAGAUGUGGUUGGGCAAAUCCGUUCUGUCCAGGGCUCUGACCUUACCAAAGAAACAACUCGAGUCCUUAUCCGUCUCCUCAUUGAUCCGUAAGAAACAAUCACGCACAAUUCUCUUUAUAUUAUUAUUUAUAUUGUGCUAAUAUUAAUAAUCAAAAAUAUUUUCUAUUCUGUAUUCGUCUAUUUAUCUCCCUUACUUAUCAAACUAAUUUUACACAAACCUUUAUUUUACACCUUAAAAGAAACCACAACAACUCAAACAAUCAAAACACCAAAAACUAAAAUUCCAAAAAAGACGAAUCAUUAAUGAUUACCUCUUUUUUUUGUUUAAUCUUAGAAGUAAACUUCAAAACAAAUAUACCAAUCCAAUCACUUCAACUAAAACUCAACGACAUAUACAUCGAGUCAGCUAAACAAAUACAAACUACACGGCCAACUAUUUAACAAUUUACAAACUUACUUUCGCAACGAAGAAGACGAAGACGAAAACCAAAAUCAGUAAAAUUACCUAAACAAAAAAACAAAAUAAAUUACGAACUCUGAUAAAUACUGCUAAUGAUUUUUGUUUACAUAUUACCCGUCAAAUAAAAGAUAAACAAACACAUCUACACGAGGAGAUAUAAGAGACUAUCCUGACAGACACAAAGGCAGCAACAACAUCUCCACCUGCUCCCUACUCUUGUCUUAUAAAAAUAACUCACAUGUCCAAUAUCAACAUGCCAAUGCUAUUGUCUUCUUAUGAGAAAUACAUAAAUUCGUUUAAAACUCAUUAAGGCCCAAAUACUCAGAACUGUUACUCAUUUUAUAGUUAUUUCUACAAGCCUUCAUGUAUUUGUUUUAAAGGUCCGAUAAGAGCAACAAGUUUAAAAAUAAAAUAAAAACAUAUAACAAACAUAAUAAGGAUAUAAAGAUAAUAAAAAUUAUUACUUACUCAUAACUUACACAACUAAACUGGAGAAAAAAUAUCUAGAAACAAAAUGUAUUCUCAACAACUUUAAUAUAAUUUAUGUAUUCUCAACACUAUAAGAAACAAAUUAAAAAGACAAACAAACAAUAAGUCUCAGUGACAUAGCAAACAACACCACGAACUAUAUCAAUUACAUUAUUAACACAAUUUAGUCAUUCAUAAGUAGAGAACAAUGCAUAAACAGUUCAUCAUCACAACUCUAACCCUAUAACAAUUAAAAAACUUGAUAAACAACUCAAAACGUAAAAUUCACAACUACAAUAACCCUUACAAGUAUUGAGAUGAAAUAAGAAUUUUGUCCAUAAUUUCGCGCUUGCGCGGGGGCAAUGCCCCUAAUUAAAACAAAAAGAAGGAUGACAAGUUUCAUGACAUUUGUCGACCAAGCUGAAACUUCAAGAGUUGGUUUCCUCCUGCUCUUCUUUCCCUCCCCCUAGUAUGUUUGAACAAAGUAUAAGCGGAGAUAAACAAAAAUAUUUUUUCCAUUUCCAUGAUGAUUGAACCCACGAAUAACUCUUAAUGGGAGAUUUGAGUUUCAUACUGCACACCAAAGCUUUAUUACCUUUCACCAAACUCUGAUCUAAUGUGUCAUAUUUACUUAUUAAUCAUUUAAUAUAUACUUAUUUUUUUCUUAUACUUAUGUAUUUAAUUAAUGAUGUUUAAUAAUUAAAAAACAAAAAUAAUAUAAGAACACUUAGAGAAACAAAAAUAAUAUAAUGCAGUUAAUAACUAUUGAUAUUUACAUUAAUCUUAGUGUAUUAACAUAAUUAUAUGUUUAUCAUUUUUAUUUUCCUUAUAAGCAAAUAAACAUUUUAACAGAAAAUAAUAAAUAAUCAUGCUUGAAUGAGAGCUAUCACUCAUAUAACAAAUACAUCAGAACCUCUAUAAAUUAAUAAUGUUGAGACUUUAAAAUUUUAUUAAUUUAUAAAGAUAUUAAUUUACAAAAGUUUCCUCAUUUAGAUUUCUUAUUUUAAGAUAUAUUUAUUCUUAGAUAAAAAAAUAUAUUUGAUUUUAGUGUAUAGACACUAAUUGUUAUUUUUUUAAAUUUGACAUUUAUAUUAAUUUUAUUAUAUUAUUUGAUGCAUAUAAUAUAUAUUGCGUAGAACUUAAAUGUGGUUUUAGAUAUAAUUUUACUAAAUUUCAUCAAAAAUAUAUUAACUGUUAAGAAAAUAUAAAGAUAAUUCGAUUGUGAAUAUAAAACAAACAAUAUAAUAAUAAAUUUUAACUUAUAUAAAAUAUGUAUACAUAUAAAUAAUUAAUUUAUAAUUUUAAUAGGACCGUAUAUUCACAUAAAUUUUUUUAAAAAAUUAUUAUCUUAUUAUUUUAUCAAUUUGUGACUACUGUGUAUCUGAAAUCCGAAAAAAACCGAACUUUGCAAAUACGCAAACACAAAUUAAUAGAAAUAUUGGGUCAUUCUGUAAAUUAAGAAAAUUCUUGGGGGUAGCAAAUCCAAAUUCCCGUUCUAGCCUCUCUCUCGCUCAGCAGCUCUUCUUCAAACCCUAACGCCGAGACCAGUCGAUAUCGGCGACGUGAUUCUCUCUGGUUUCUCCUCGUAAUCCUGAAAACUCGACGGCGAAGAAUCUCCGCCGAGGAUUUAGUCUUCAUUGGCGAUCCCUCCUCCGAAGAUGUCCGUCCAUUGCUUUUGAUUUAGGUCAUCGGACUUGAAUCCGAUUUGUUGCUCUGAAGAAGAGCAAAAGAGUCAUCUGCUAAGCUAUUUCGUGAGAAUCUGUAAGAUUCGUUUUCCCUUUCGAAGAUUGUUUUGUUUCGGAAGCUCUCUAGGUUCGUUUAAACCCUAAUUUCACGCUGCUCGUCGUUACUAGAAUUGACUUAGCUUAAUCCGUUAGGGUUUUCGAGUUGUUGCGAACAUUAGAUCGCUAGAGUUUCGUUCUGUAUAUUAUCUAAUGAACGCCGAUCUUUAUCAGAGCUUUUUAUGAGAGAGACGAGAAGCUCUGCAUUAUCCAUGGAGAUUUCAGUUUCCUCUCCGAAGCAGAGCGUGUUAUCUUCAUUGGAUUGUAUGAGCGACCCUGAGGAGGAGCACGAGAUCAGCGAGGAGGAGGAUGAUGACGAUCGUAACCACAAGCACCGUAAGAAAGAAGAGACGAGUUCUCAGUCCUUGGAACAAGGCUCUUCAGAUCAAGCUUUCUCGCGUCCCUCCAGGAGAAACAAUAGGCAUUUUGAGAAUGGCAGUGAACAUGAGAAACGGUCUCUAGGAGCAGGAGGAUCAGGACACCGUGUACAGUUUGAUAACCAAAGAUCAAGAUCAAACCCUGGUAGAGGUAGAGGUAGUUAUGGUUCUUGGAGUCAGCGUGAUUCCAGGUUUAAUCAUCAUGUUGAUCUCUCAUCUCAUAUGGUUCCGGGGAUGUUUGGAGGGAGGGGGAUAGCUGCUCAAACCGCACCUUGGCCGGGGUUUGGAAUGCUUCCUGGCGUUCCCAAUGGUGGCUUGGAUGGUUUCCAUCACUUGCAAGGGCCUCUAGGACCGCCGUUAAAUGGUCCAAUCAACAUGGGUAUUCCUCGGCAGCGAUGCAGAGACUUUGAGGAACGUGGGUUCUGCCUCAGAGGGGAUAUGUGUCCCAUGGAGCAUGGAAUCAAUCGUAUCGUUGUUGAUGAUGUUCAGGUAUGUUAAUUUUUUCUUGGGAUCGGAUUUAUCUCGUAAAUAGAAAUCUAGAGGUUUUGCUGGAUAUUUGAGAUCUAUUUGCAUGUCCUAUGCUGAAGUUCAACACAUUUAUGUUUCUUGAAUAUGUUGCUAGUAGUAUGAGUAUGACCACUUUAUGCCCAUUAGCAGUACUUCUAGUUCUAGGUGACAUGAAAUGAAACUCUUUACUUUUUGUUAGUGUUAGCUUUAACUGGCAUGGGUCUCAGAAACAGCUAAUUUCCAUUCGAAUUUCUUAACAGCUUCUUUGUAUAGCAUGACUAAUAUCUUACUACUGCGAUUUUAUUACACCAUUAUUCUCUUGUGUAUAUUUAACUGAGUAAUUUUCCUUCAUUUUGCAUUUGUGCAGAGUCUAUCACAGUUCAACCUUCCCGUUUCUGCCCCUGGUGGACCUCAUAUGGCAGCUUCUUCCAAACCAGUGCCUGCACAGUUUGGGGGUGGUAAUUUCAUGAAUACGAAAGGAGCUCAUGGGAAGACUAACGAGGGUGGAAUGGCUGUUGAUGGUAUGGGUUAUGGUGAUGCAUAUCCUAGUGCAGGUGGAACUGAUUCUUACGAUCCUGAUCAACCUUUGUGGAAUAACAGUGCUGGUGAAACUUCAGGGGCAUUAUCUGCACCAAAUUCUCAUGGGAUAGAUGAGAAUGUCGCUCCAGUGGAUGACAAUAACCAAGAUGGCGCUGUAAAUACAUGUGGUAUUCGAGAAUCAAGAAACAAUCAGUCGGGUUGGGGCAGAGUGCGUAAUAGUCAAGCAAAUUUCAAAGAGAAAGGUGAUACUGUAUUAAAUUCAUCAGCUGGUCUUGAAGGUCAAUCGAAGGAGAUCUCAGUUAGUUUAUACCGCCAAAACAAUGUUGGGGGAAGUGUCGCAAAAGUUGUUGAUUCAUCAAACACUUUAAAUGAUGCAGUGAAUAAUACAAGAACACCAACGCAAAAGGCGAUGCGGACUCUGUUCGUGAAUGGUGUUCCUCACGAGAGCAACAGAAGGGACCUCAUUCUUGCCCAUUUUCAGAAAUUUGGGAAAGUUAUUGACAUUCACAUCCCAGCAAAUAGUAACCGAGCAUUUGUUCAAUUCUCAAAACGUGAAGAGGCCGAGUCUGCUCUCAGGGCGCCUGAUGCUGUAAUGGGUAACCGCUUUAUCAAACUUUGGUGGGCAAAUAGAGAUAGUAUACCUGAUAAUGGCCUGUCCACUGGGAAUGGUGCUUUUAUGAAGGGUCGUGGUGUGGGUGCUUCUGGAGGACAGAACCAGAUUCCUAUUGCUGCAGCAUCGAAAAGCAACCAUGUAUCUCUUACUGCGAAAGGGCCUGCCUUCCACCCUGGUGGAGCUCCAUCAUCCUCUCAACAGCCUAAGCCUGUGGGGGUCACUAGUGGUCCCAAGGUUAUGCCGCUUCAGCAGAAAAAAGCAGACACUCUUGAGCAGUUGAAAGAGACACUUCGGAAAAAGCAGGAAAUGCUGGAUCAAAAGCGUAACGAGUUAUGCAAAAAGUUGGCGACUCUUCAAAAACAAGUAAGUACAAGUAACUGGAUCCCGUUUCAUUUUUGUCAAUCGUUAAUACCUUUUUGAAGGAAAUAACAAUUUAGCAGUCUCCAGGAAGUUAAGCAGAAUUAGAGUGAGUUCUGAGUUCUGAGGAUUUGAAUCUCAGAGGUGUCUUUGGGAAACAUUGAAGAAGUGUAAAAUGCUAGACAAGUACAGAUCUGAGUUCUCAGUAUGUUAAAAUUGAGUUUGUUUAACACGAAAUUCUGAGUAGACGUGUGUUGUGAUAUAUAUUCAAUUUUUUCUUUGGGGUGUUUAACCGAAUAAAUAAAUGAAUUAUACACUAGAAACAUAAUUGCUGCCUGUCUUAUUCAACAGUGGUAAAUGGUUGAGUUGAAAUUAUUUACUAGCAUUCAUAUCAUAUAGCUCUAAAUCUUCUCAGGAAACGGGUGUUAAAGACGAGGAAGCAGAUGAGCCAGAUGCUAAGCGCGUUAAGGUGGACACAGCCUCGAACUCCGGUACUGCAAUCCCAUCACCAAAAACAGAGUCAUUGACUGAGAAGAAAGGGCCUAUCAAGAAACCACUUUCUAUUGCUAGACCAAGCACAGAAACGCCAUCGCCCGAUUUGAAAAACUUAAAGCAAAGACCGUAUUCGUAUACCACAAGUUUGAACACUCCUAUGGUAAAUAGGUAUAAGUUGGACAACCGCACGACUACCAUCAAAGUUGUCCCUCCUUUGCCAACCGGGCUAGCCGAUGUAUGUCCCCUUUAUGAAUUUGCAAAACUUUCUCAUUUUCCAUAUUGGAUGUUGUUAGCUUCUACUUUGAUUAUUAAGUCUCUUACUGAUGGUUUGAACUAUUUUUUUGCUUCUAGGUUGCUGUCUUAAAAGAACAUUUCUCUUCUUAUGGCGAGGUCUCAAAAGUGGAACUCGAAGACAAUGCAUCGGCUGAUAGUGGCAAGGAUCAGGAUGAAACACAUAACAAAAGCCUUGCAGCCUGUGUGACAUUUGUGAAACGCAGCGCAGCAGAGAAAGCGUUUGCUAAUGCAAAGUCUUGGCAAGAACACACGUUGCAGCUCGUGUGGGUAACACGUCAAAUCAAGAAAGAGAAUAAAAGUAGCAAUGACAAGAAUAAUCCCUCUGUUUCUAGUGACCACCUUAGCAGCAAAAACAAGUCCGCUGCUUCUGUUUCUAAUGACCCGAAACCAGAAGAUGAAGUCAAAUCCUCUUCUACAGAAGAACCAAAGAGCACAAAUGUCUCUGGAGACGACAAUACAUUGAAUGAACAAGACAAUGGCAGCAAUAAAAGUAAUAGCGAGUCCAACGAGGGAGCUGAAAAAGUUGCAGCGCCAGAAAGUGAUGAAGAACAGAUGAAUGGUUAAGCUGGGCAAGAAGACUGUCAGUGAGGUAAUCUUUUGUCUCAGAAACAUAAUCUUUAUUUGUUGGUGAAUCUGGUAUAGUGAUCUUUUAGGCUUUUUAGCCAAUCAGUGAGACGUUAAUAUUUGUUGGUAGCAAAAGAUAUAUUUAUAGUUUUUUCCUCCUUUAUAUGGAUAGUAGAAGUGUAUUGUUACAUUUGGCCUUCCAAGAACAGUGGUUGGGUCUUUGUAUCAGCAGGUCUUUGUUUUCCUCUUUUAUUAGCUUCUAUAACAAUCUUGACUUGUGUUGUACAUACAUAGUUGGACUUCGUGACUUGCUUUAGUCGAGUCGAAGAGCGGUGUGGAAUCUAUAAAACGGCACGCAUUUUUGAAGUUUAUGCAAUGUUUUCUUUGGUAAUAUCACAGGUUUGAAUCCUAGAAACUAUAUGCUUUCAUUCUUUGGUAAUAUCACAGGUUUGAAUCCUAGAAACUAUAUGCUUUCAUUAAACAACAGAUGUAGAGAAAUGAGAUUGAAAUUCGAUGAUGUAUGUCUGAGCAGUUCGCAAAUUUUCUAGAUCAAUUCAAGACAAGGGCCUCAAGCUAACGAUGAUUUCUUUCAUUAAGACAGAACAUCAAACCAACAGACAUACAUUAAUUGUUUUAAAAACAUACAUUAUCAGAUAAUAUUCUAUUUUCCGGGGACGAAGUUGGUGGCGUAAGCCCAUGCAUUAUUAGCGACAGGGUCCGCAACAUGAUCAAACAGAUUCUCGAUCGGUCCUUUACCAGUGACGAUGGCUUGGACAAAGAAUCCAAACAUGGAGAACAUAGCAAGCCGACCGUUUUUAAGCUCCUUCACUUUCAAUUCCGAAAACGCCUCCGGAUCCUCCGCUAAGUUCAACGGGUCAAACGCCCCACCCGGGUAAAGCGGGUCAAGCCCUUCACCAAGAGGUCCACCUCCGAUUCUGUACCCUUCGAUUAAACCCAUCAGCACAACUUGAGAAGCCCAGAUUGCUAAUAUGCUUUGCGCGUGGAUCAAGUUAGGGUUGCCGAGGUAAUCAAGCCCUCCUUCUGAGAAGAUCUGAGACCCUGCCUUGAACCACACGGCUUCACCGAAUUUGACUCCGUUUUUGGAGAGAAUCUCUGGGAAGGUGCAUCCUAAAGCGCCGAGCAUUGCCCAUCUGCUGUGGAUUACUUCCAGCUCACGGUUCUUUGCGAAGGUUUCUGGAUCGGCGGAGAGACCGGCGGUGUCCCAGCCGUAGUCUCCGGGGUAUUCUCCGGUUAGGUACGAUGGUGUGUUCUCUGAGAAUGGUCCUAAGUACUUGGGACGGUCUGGUCC